GACGAACGCUGGCGGCGUGCCUAAUACAUGCAAGUCGAGCGCAGGAAACUGACGGAACUCUUCGGAGGGAAGGCAGCGGAAUGAGCGGCGGACGGGUGAGUAACACGUAAGGAACCUGCCUCAAGGAUUGGGAUAACUCCGAGAAAUCGGAGCUAAUACCGGAUAGUUCAUCGGACCGCAUGGUCCGUUGAUGAAAGGCGCUCCGGCGUCACCUUGAGAUGGCCUUGCGGUGCAUUAGCUAGUUGGUGGGGUAACGGCCCACCAAGGCGACGAUGCAAAGCCGACCUGAGAGGGUGAUCGGCCACACUGGGACUGAGACACGGCCCAGACUCCUACGGGAGGCAGCAGUAGGGAAUCUUCCACAAUGGACGAAAGUCUGAUGGAGCAACGCCGCGUGAGUGAUGAAGGUUUUCGGAUCGUAAAACUCUGUUGUAAGGGAAGAACACGUACGAGAGGAAAUGCUCGUACCUUGACGGUACCUUACGAGAAAGCCACGGCUAACUACGUGCCAGCCGCCGCCGUAACAC
rnacentral:rRNA from 1 species